rnacentral:lncRNA from 1 species
CGGCGCCCGGGGGGAGGGGCGGGGGCGAGCGCAAGGGCGGGGGAGCGCUCGCACGCCCCGCCCCCGGGGGCGGUGCGCGCGCUCAUUGGCACUUGCGCCUCCCGCCGCCGCCGCUGGCACCGCCCCCCGGACUUGGGCCCGCCCCCUCUGGCCUCUGAUCCCCAGCGCAGGAGAGCGCGCCACAGGAUUCUGACGCCUCGUCGCGUCCUCGCUCCACGGGAUGGGCCGCCCGAACCGCAAACGUUGUGACCGCACCCCGGCUCCCGCUGCCUAGCGUUAGCAGUCAUGGGUGCGAGGAGUUGUGUAUGGGACACGGGGCAACUCGCUCCAGAGCCAACCAUGUGCUUCCCCGCGGCGCCGUGAGCUUCACGCCUUGGCCGGCGCCUGGUACACUUUCCCGCUCUUCCCGUCAGGAGGUGGUACUCUCAGGGUACCAGGCCGCCGGUCCCCGGCCAAUCGCAUCGCGCCUGGAGCCGAAUGGGGCGGGACCGAGGCAAGAAAGGGCGGUCCCAAUUGGAGCGUUCGAAAUGUCCUGGGCAGAGGCGGGGACGCAGUGGAUGGUGACCCCGCCUCCCUCGCGAUCACCAUAGUAACCGAGAGGGCGCUGCUCUGAGUUGGCGCCCGCGCUUGGACCUUGCUCUGUCCCUCAAGGGGUGACCAGGUAAGGUGUUCUCCGUGGACGCUACCCGCUAAUCUGUCUGGAAAUUCUUCGUUUUUAAGCUACGUGAAGGGUAGAGAUACCAUCAAGUCUUCUCAUCUGCUUCUCUGAGGGGAAGAAGCAGAUGCUGCCGAGCGAUCAUGCACCACGGGGAUCUUCACGUCAGUGCAAAAUGGUUGCGAUUUCCCCUCAUUUAUCGAGGACAGAUCUGCCGUGAUGUAGCAGACACCAGACUUGUCGCUUGAACUAUUUGGCUUAUUAAACAAAUCUUAUGUAUGACUUUGAUAAAAAAUAAAAUUGUAAUUACAUAAAAAGGAGA